rnacentral:rRNA from 1 species
UCCGGAGGGUGCAAUCGUUGUUCGGAAUCAUUGGGCGUAAAGCGCGUGUAGGCGGCCGGGUAAGUCUGAUGUGAAAGCCCGGGGCUCAACCCCGGAAGUGCAUUGGAUACUGCCUGGCUAGAGGGCGAGAGAGGAAAGUGGAAUUCCUGGUGUAGGGGUGAAAUCCGUAGAUAUCAGGAGGAACAUCGGUGGCGAAGGCGACUUUCUGGCUCGUUACUGACGCUGAGACGCGAAAGCGUGGGGAGCAAACAGG